UCUGUGUGUGUGUGUGUGUGUGUGUGUGUGUGUGUGUGUCUCUGUGUGUGUGUGUGUGUGUGUGUGUGUUGUUACCCUGCCUGCUGGGAGUCACACAGCAGCAGCAGAAGGAGGAGCAGGACAUCCUGUUGGCAUCAGGGUGAAACACCUGCUGGAGCUGUUAUAUUCCCGACCUUGACGGAGUUGAUGCAGUUCUUGGCGAGGCCGCGGCUCUGCAGGAAGGGACAGUCUUCACAGAUCUCCACGCACUGGCCCGAGAAGUUACAGGCCUCGAACAGCUCGAUGCGAUAGUGCUCGCCGUGCUGACGGAGGGAAGGAAGACACGGAUUAGUCUUCAGGGUUCGUCCUCCGAGGAGCACAACAGUGACCCGAUAGGUCGAAGAGUCAGAGGCGGUGUUUACCAUGCGGAUGGGUUUGCAGGAUCCCAUGUGGUCGUUGUGGGAGUUCCACCUCUGGAAUUCUGGGUACUCUCCGUGCUCCAGGAUGUACUGCUGGCCCUUAAAGUCGGGAUGGUCGAAGCAGAUCCAGGCGCCGCUCUCGACCCGGAUGGAGUUCACCCUGAAAACACAAAGAGACGACUCUUUAUAUACACCACGGUCCUGGAAGUUGUCACAGUCACCUCUGACCUCCAGCUUCCUGCCGGUGAAGCACUUCCCCUCAUAGAAGGUGAUCUGAGGAGAAAGAAACAAACACACGAUCAAUCGACUGGUGGGAACCAGUUCGUCUGUGGGAAGAGAAAAUCAAUCGUGUGGAUUCAAAGACAUAAUGAGGUGAUUUGAUUCAAACUUGAAUUUGUCUGACAAGUCGACAAAAUAAAGAAGAAGCAUAAAACAAAAUCUGUAGUGAAGAAACGUUUCUCUGUGAGUCGUCACGCAGCGGUGAUGUCAGAGGCAGCGGACACGCCCCCUCCCCAGCACACUGUGACAUCACAGCGGCAGCGAGAAGCUAAACAAGACUAUGAGGUGUUCCUGGAAACAGUGACGACCAGAACAUGACGUUCAUCUGAUUCAUCUAAAGACAAAUAUAGUUAUAUAUAUAUAUAAUUCACCAUCUGAAAACUUCAUCGAUUUCCAACAACAACAAUAAAGAAUACUGCGACAUCUUGACCUCUGGACGUCGUCCAACCUGAAGCUCGACCACACACACUGAGUAACAGAGGGAAAGUUGGACACCUCAAUUUAUACUGCAGGGGGGCGAGCGAGGGGCGAGCGAGGGGCGAGCGGGACAAAAGAGCAGGGUUUAAAAGUUUCUGCUGCCUCGACGAUUCCCUUCAUCAUCCUGACCCGUCUGCUGAUUCUGCUGUGUGUGUGUGUGUGUGUGUGUGUGUGUGAAUAGCUUUGCAGGGUCAGUGAUAUUGUUCGUCUCCAUGGAGACACAGUGACAGCCUCCCUCAUGCUGUCACAGUUUGAUGAAUAAACUUGUUAAAUUAUUUUAUUAAAGGCAGAAAACACGAGUCA